rnacentral:lncRNA from 11 species
UUAUUCAGCAGCCAUGGUCAAGCCGCUUAAGCAGCUGAGGGAAGCGGAAAGGGCCUGAGGCUGUUAGGAAUUGUGGAAGUUAUAGUCCAAAACACCUGGAGGGCCCAAGUUUGAGCAUGGCUACUAAAUAAGAUCGUCAAGAAAGAUGUUGUAAAUGAGACACAUUGAUGCUUGAAAUUAUAAAGUUGUUUAUUAAAGUAAUAUCUGCAUAUUACACAGGAAAUUAAGGUAACGAAGUAUAAUAUUGAAAUAAAAAUUACGAAUAACAUUGAAAAUAAGCUUAAUUGAUGCAGUUGACAUUGUUUAAUUCUAUUUUUGGUCAGAUUAAAUACUUACUGUACUCGCACUGCUAUUAACUGCUUGUUACACAAUUCAGAAACAAUCUAGAUUUCAUACAUGUCGCUUAUGUAUAGUAUUGUGUUGUGAACAAGUCAUUUGAUGGUGCUUUUACUGCCUGGCAGGGGUUUAGACUCAAUGGCUCAUGUGGUCUCUUCCAAGUUCCAACUCUAGAGUUCUAAGGUUCCUUGCAGGCACACAUUCCUGCCAACACAGGCUGGGCUUUCCCCACAGCACACUCCAAUUUCGCCUGCUAGGACUUGACUAUGGAUGGGUCAUUACUUGUGUUUUGUAUGCUCAUUUAGAAAAUAAUCACUGGGAUUUUAAAUCGAUGGUACAUGGCAGGUGUACAGUUUUUCUUUGUUCAGUUCCCCCUGGCCUUUGCCACCACCACCCCGGGGGGGGGGACGGGACGGGACAAUUUCACCCACCUUGAGAAUAAUUAUUACAGUUUGACAAAACAUUUUAACUGCAGAGACUUAAUGCUAUGGAAUCUCAGGAGCUGUAAUUUGGUGAGGCUGAAGCACUUCUUGGCGAAGCACGCUCAAAGCGUUGUAAGGCUACCUGCUAUGCUACCACAGCACUGAACCAUGGCACUUAAAAGUGGCUCAGACCACAGGGCCCUUGGGGGUUGUAAGCUUCUUGGAAGUUGAUUCUCCCUGCAUUUUGCAUUCUGAGUUUGGGUCACCUUCAGUCUAUUGGGAUCCGGGGAUACAAUGAAAGGACAUCAGUAUUUUUAUGCUGUUUUUCACAAAUCUUGUCUCAUCUGGCAUCAGCAGCCGACAUGAGAUUCUUCUGUUGGUGACUAUUUUUCUUCUGUUGGUGACUAUUCUUGUAUUAAAAGAGCUCAAGCACAAAUGAAGCCAUAUCCGAAAAUACUGCCUGUCAUUUUCUUGCUCUUUACUGCCUUCAUUUACUGUUCUACUCUCAAAUGUAAACCUACAAGCCACUUAAAAGAAGUCAUAUCAAUUGAUACAUCUGAAGCAGUCAGCUUUUGAACUGGCCUUUUAACUUUUUUUCCCUCCAGUGCAGAUGUGACCUGCAUAACAGUAUCACCAGUUAUGUACACCCCAUGCCCUAAGUAAUACAUAAAUAACUACAGAAUUACAUCUUGUACCUGUUAACAAGCAAUCAUUCAUUUCCUGAAAAUAGUAUCUAUUCUUUGAACCUGAGGUUUUCAGGACUGCUCUUAUUAUUGAAGAGUCUCUCAGCUUGGUACUUUGCAUUUUUCUUGUCUUAAAUUAUGUUUUAUAGAUGAUUUGGCAAGGGUAAUAUAUGUGUCAACAUUUAGAUAACUACCACCAAAAAAAUUAAAAUAGCAUUUUAAAAAAUUCAGGACAUUAAAAAAAUGUUAGAAUUAAAAUAAUUGGAGCUUUUAAUGAAGGUUUUUGAUCAAGUCAGGCAGUGCUGUGGUUUUAGCUUUGAAUGUGUUUUUAAUCCACUUUUAUGGAUUUUAAUUGGAUUUUUAAUUCAUUGAUAUUUAAUUCUUUUAAAAUGUUUGUAUAUUUGUAAAUAUUAAAUUGAAUUGAAAUGUUUUUAAUAUAUGCCGCUUUGAGUAUCCUUUGUGGAGAGAAAAAGCGGGGUAUAAGCAAACUUAAACAUAAUAUCUAAGAAAUUUAUGCUAUUUUGAAUAUAGGAAUAAUUGAAAUGUCUGUCAAUGUACUGUACAGAACCACAGUAAUUUAUUGAAGAGGAAGAAUAUUCAUAUUUACCAUGUCUUAAGCUGUGCCUGAAUAUAGACAAUCUGAUGUGUAGCUAUCUUCAAUCUAUCAUAUUUAGCAACUAAGAUUCAAACACAUCACCUGUCUCCAUCCCAUUGUGGCAGCGAGAUGGAAAUUGCGACUAUCCAGUUGGUCUGAA